GACAGAGGUGGCGAGCGUUGCUCGGAUUUACUGGGCUUAAAGGGCGCGUAGGUGGCCUUGUAAGUCAAAGGUGGAAUUCCACAGCUCAACUGUGGAACUGCCUUUGAUACUGCAAGGCUUGAGUCAGGUAGAGGAGGGCGGAAUUCCCGGUGUAGCGGUGAAAUGCGUAGAUAUCGGGAGGAAGGCCGGUGGCGAAGGCGGCCCUCUGGGCCUGUACUGACACUGAGGCUCGAAAGCGUGGGUAGCAAACAGG
rnacentral:rRNA from 1 species